AACUUAGGAUAAUGCUCUCUGGAGUUUUCAAGGUGGUUGCCAGAGCAACCUCAGGGACUAGAUCCUGGAAGAGCUGAAACAUUCUAUUUUAAAAACACCCAGUUGAUCAUCAGAGAGCCAGAAUGAAACAACCAAAUAAUAAGGCAGAUAUUGAGAAUGUUUUAAAUGAUGAGCAUCUUCCCAAACUGGAAAUAAUUUAAUCGAUGAGGAAUAUUUUAAACCCUGGAAGCAAAGAGAUUUCAAAAGGAGAUGCGAUUUUAAAGACACUCAUCUAUGGAGUGCCCCAAAUGCGCUAGGACUGCACAGGCUGCGUGGGGAACUCAAGGCUGAAAAAAGAUAUAUCCUUGGCCCUCAGGAAGAUUAUAGCCAGUGUAAAGGGGACCAUAACGAUGUCUACAUCCCAGGACUGUCGCGACUGAGAUCAUCCAACCAAGCACUUUGUACAACGUCUGGCAUAUUAUACCACAUAUAAUACCUUAAUAAAUGUUGUUAUAGAAAAAAACACUUAAGCCUCUGUUAGGAGCUGAAUGUUCACCUCCCCCCAAAAUUCACAUG